rnacentral:rRNA from 1 species
UAAGCGACUAAGCGUACACGGUGGAUGCCCUGGCAGUCAGAGGCGAUGAAGGACGUGCUAAUCUGCGAUAAGCGUCGGUAAGGUGAUAUGAACCGUUAUAACCGGCGAUUUCCGAAUGGGGAAACCCAGUGUGUUUCGACACACUAUCAUUAACUGAAUCCAUAGGUUAAUGAGGCGAACCGGGGGAACUGAAACAUCUAAGUACCCCGAGGAAAAGAAAUCAACCGAGAUUCCCCCAGUAGCGGCGAGCGAACGGGGAGCAGCCCAGAGCCUGAAUCAGUGUGUGUGUUAGUGGAAGCGUCUGGAAAGGCGCGCGAUACAGGGUGACAGCCCCGUACACAAAAAUGCACAUGCUGUGAGCUCGAUGAGUAGGGCGGGACACGUGGUAUCCUGUCUGAAUAUGGGGGGACCAUCCUCCAAGGCUAAAUACUCCUGACUGACCGAUAGUGAACCAGUACCGUGAGGGAAAGGCGAAAAGAACCCCGGCGAGGGGAGUGAAAAAGAACCUGAAACCGUGUACGUACAAGCAGUGGGAGCACAGAGCAAUCUGUGUGACUGCGUACCUUUUGUAUAAUGGGUCAGCGACUUAUAUUCUGUAGCAAGGUUAACCGAAUAGGGGAGCCGAAGGGAAACCGAGUCUUAACUGGGCGUUAAGUUGCAGGGUAUAGACCCGAAACCCGGUGAUCUAGCCAUGGGCAGGUUGAAGGUUGGGUAACACUAACUGGAGGACCGAACCGACUAAUGUUGAAAAAUUAGCGGAUGACUUGUGGCUGGGGGUGAAAGGCCAAUCAAACCGGGAGAUAGCUGGUUCUCCCCGAAAGCUAUUUAGGUAGCGCCUCGUGAAUUCAUCUCCGGGGGUAGAGCACUGUUUCGGCAAGGGGGUCAUCCCGACUUACCAACCCGAUGCAAACUACGAAUACCGGAGAAUGUUAUCACGGGAGACACACGGCGGGUGCUAACGUCCGUCGUGAAGAGGGAAACAACCCAGACCGCCAGCUAAGGUCCCAAAGUCAUGGUUAAGUGGGAAACGAUGUGGGAAGGCCCAGACAGCCAGGAUGUUGGCUUAGAAGCAGCCAUCAUUUAAAGAAAGCGUAAUAGCUCACUGGUCGAGUCGGCCUGCGCGGAAGAUGUAACGGGGCUAAACCAUGCACCGAAGCUGCGGCAGCGACGCUUAUGCGUUGUUGGGUAGGGGAGCGUUCUGUAAGCCUGCGAAGGUGUGCUGUGAGGCAUGCUGGAGGUAUCAGAAGUGCGAAUGCUGACAUAAGUAACGAUAAAGCGGGUGAAAAGCCCGCUCGCCGGAAGACCAAGGGUUCCUGUCCAACGUUAAUCGGGGCAGGGUGAGUCGACCCCUAAGGCGAGGCCGAAAGGCGUAGUCGAUGGGAAACAGGUUAAUAUUCCUGUACUUGGUGUUACUGCGAAGGGGGGACGGAGAAGGCUAUGUUGGCCGGGCGACGGUUGUCCCGGUUUAAGCGUGUAGGCUGGUUUUCCAGGCAAAUCCGGAAAAUCAAGGCUGAGGCGUGAUGACGAGGCACUACGGUGCUGAAGCAACAAAUGCCCUGCUUCCAGGAAAAGCCUCUAAGCAUCAGGUAACAUCAAAUCGUACCCCAAACCGACACAGGUGGUCAGGUAGAGAAUACCAAGGCGCUUGAGAGAACUCGGGUGAAGGAACUAGGCAAAAUGGUGCCGUAACUUCGGGAGAAGGCACGCUGAUAUGUAGGUGAAGUCCCUCGCGGAUGGAGCUGAAAUCAGUCGAAGAUACCAGCUGGCUGCAACUGUUUAUUAAAAACACAGCACUGUGCAAACACGAAAGUGGACGUAUACGGUGUGACGCCUGCCCGGUGCCGGAAGGUUAAUUGAUGGGGUCAGCGCAAGCGAAGCUCUUGAUCGAAGCCCCGGUAAACGGCGGCCGUAACUAUAACGGUCCUAAGGUAGCGAAAUUCCUUGUCGGGUAAGUUCCGACCUGCACGAAUGGCGUAAUGAUGGCCAGGCUGUCUCCACCCGAGACUCAGUGAAAUUGAACUCGCUGUGAAGAUGCAGUGUACCCGCGGCAAGACGGAAAGACCCCGUGAACCUUUACUAUAGCUUGACACUGAACAUUGAGCCUUGAUGUGUAGGAUAGGUGGGAGGCUUUGAAGUGUGGACGCCAGUCUGCAUGGAGCCGACCUUGAAAUACCACCCUUUAAUGUUUGAUGUUCUAACGUGGACCCGUAAUCCGGGUUGCGGACAGUGUCUGGUGGGUAGUUUGACUGGGGCGGUCUCCUCCUAAAGAGUAACGGAGGAGCACGAAGGUUGGCUAAUCCUGGUCGGACAUCAGGAGGUUAGUGCAAUGGCAUAAGCCAGCUUGACUGCGAGCGUGACGGCGCGAGCAGGUGCGAAAGCAGGUCAUAGUGAUCCGGUGGUUCUGAAUGGAAGGGCCAUCGCUCAACGGAUAAAAGGUACUCCGGGGAUAACAGGCUGAUACCGCCCAAGAGUUCAUAUCGACGGCGGUGUUUGGCACCUCGAUGUCGGCUCAUCACAUCCUGGGGCUGAAGUAGGUCCCAAGGGUAUGGCUGUUCGCCAUUUAAAGUGGUACGCGAGCUGGGUUUAGAACGUCGUGAGACAGUUCGGUCCCUAUCUGCCGUGGGCGCUGGAGAAUUGAGGGGGGCUGCUCCUAGUACGAGAGGACCGGAGUGGACGCAUCACUGGUGUUCGGGUUGUCAUGCCAAUGGCACUGCCCGGUAGCUAAAUGCGGAAGAGAUAAGUGCUGAAAGCAUCUAAGCACGAAACUUGCCCCGAGAUGAGUUCUCCCUGACUCCUUGAGAGUCCUGAAGGAACGUUGAAGACGACGACGUUGAUAGGCCGGGUGUGUAAGCGCAGCGAUGCGUUGAGCUAACCGGUACUAAUGAACCGUGAGGCUUAACCU